GAUGAACGCUGGCGGCGUGCUUAACACAUGCAAGUCGAGCGAGUGAGUUCUUCGGAACGAUCUAGCGGCGGACGGGUGAGUAACACGUGGGCAACCAGCCUCAUAGAGGGGAAUAGCCUUCCGAAAGGAAGAUUAAUACCGCAUAACAUCGUUGAAGGGCAUCCUACGAUGAUCAAAGGAGCAAUCCGCUAUGAGAUGGGCCCGCGGCGCAUUAGCUAGUUGGUGAGGUAACGGCUCACCAAGGCGACGAUGCGUAGCCGACCUGAGAGGGUGAUCGGCCACAUUGGGACUGAGACACGGCCCAGACUCCUACGGGAGGCAGCAGUGGGGAAUAUUGCACAAUGGGGGAAACCCUGAUGCAGCAACGCCGCGUGAGUGAUGAUGGCCUUCGGGUUGUAAAGCUCUGUCUUUGGGGACGAUAAUGACGGUACCCAAGGAGGAAGUCACGGCUAACUACGUGCCAGCAGCCGCCGUAAGAC
rnacentral:rRNA from 1 species